GAUUAAAUGGCUGAAGUUUAGGCAAUAGACUGUAAAUCUAUUCAUGAGAGUUAUUCUCUUUAAUCA
rnacentral:tRNA from 1 species